rnacentral:rRNA from 1 species
GAUGAACGCUGGCAGUGUGCCUUAGACAUGCAAGUCGAACGAAGCACCUUAAAUUGAUCUUUCGAGUGAUUUUUUUGGACGCUUAGUGGCGAACGGGUGAGUAACACGUGGGUAUCUGCCCUCAAGUACGGCAUAACAGUUGGAAACGACUGCUAAUACCGUAUGUGCUCUUCGGAGUAAAGAUUUAUCGCUUGAGGAUGAGCCCGCGGCACAUCAGCUUGUUGGUGGGGUAAUGGCCUACCAAGGCGACGACGUGUAGCCGACCUGAGAGGGUGACCGGCCACAGGGGUACUGAGACACGGACCCCACUCCUACGGGAGGCAGCAGUUAGGAAUCUUCCACAAUGGGCGCAAGCCUGAUGGAGCGACACUGCAUGAAGGAUGAAGGUUCUAGGAUCGUAAACUUCUGAACUAGGGACGAUAAUGACGGUACCUAGGUAAUAGCACCGGCUAACUCUG